rnacentral:rRNA from 1 species
UACGAAGGGGGCGAGCGUUGUUCGGAAUUACUGGGCGUAAAGGGCGCGUAGGCGAUUUGACAAGUCUUGUGUGAAAGCCCCGAGCUUAACUCGGGAAGUGCACAAGAAACUGUUGAAUUUGAGUUCCGGAGAGGAAGGCAGAAUUCCCGGUGUAGCGGUGAAAUGCGUAGAUAUCGGGAGGAAUACCAGUGGCGAAGGCGGCCUUCUGGACGGAUACUGACGCUGAGGCGCGAAAGCCAGGGGAGCAAACGGG